CACGCGCAGGGGCUGGCGCCAGCGCGGCCGCAUCCUGGGCGGCACCACGCGCGGGGCGGGCAUCGGUUCGAUGCCGAGCCGCGCGA
rnacentral:tRNA from 1 species